GUUGGUUGGUGUUGUUGGCAACGGUCCCGUGGAUCGCGUGAGAGAGAGCGGGUGUCGCACGAGUUCAUCAAGUUUGCGAUUAUCUGCUGUCUGAGAGCAGAAGAAGAAUCUGCCUGAUUAAAACUGGAUGGACAGAUUUCUUCGUCGUUUCAUAAUUAUGAUCGACAGAUUGACACUUCCUCCCUCUGUUUGGUUCCUAAUCCGCAGCAGCUGAAGAAUCGAGCUCGAGCAUGGACGGCCCCACCCGCCGCCACAAUCACCGCCAUCCCCCCCCUCGAACCCUAACCAAAAUCAAUUCCACUACCACCGCCACCACCGUCCCAGGAGACUUCUGUUCCAACGGCUCAAACGAGCAGGAAGACGAGGUCGGCGGAGCAGGCUUCGCGGAGGAGUUGGGCGACUCCGAGGUCUGGAGCUCCUUCACCGAUAACUUCCUCCAGGUGCAGUCGGUUCUGGAUCGGAACCGCGUAUUGAUUCAGCAGGUUAACGAGAACCACCAGUCCAAGAUUCACGAAAAUUUGGUCCAGAACGUCGCCCUAAUUCAGGAGAUCAACGGCAACAUCUCCAAGAUCGUAUCUCUCUACUCCGACCUUUCUACUAGUUUCUCUUCCGUGUUCCAUCAGCGAAACGCAGCGGUUGAUGCGAACAGCCGUAACGCUGAGAAGGACUCGUCCCCGCAGGCUUGACUAUAUUGAUUUCCAGGUGAGAGGCAAACCAAACGGUGUAAGCUGGAGGUCUACUGGAUCUCCUACUCGCCGAUGGGAUCUUUUGGCAGUGAUGAUGUUCACUUGCUGAAGAACUACUCACGUCUAGAGAUUUUCCCGGCACGUCGUCAUAGCACUCGCACACUCCUUAAUUGCAACCUCGCCUUAAGGGAUGGAUAUGCUUCGGGAAAUGAACCGAUGACGAUGUGAGGAAGACGCCUAGAGACUUGGGAGAGGGGGGAAUUCUACUCGCCCCUCUAGAGGAGCUAUUCACCAACCCUCCUCAUCACGCUCUCAAAGACAGGUGGGUGCCUCCUCUUCAAGAGCAAGUUCCACGCAAAAAUACUUGUGCCCCAUAUGCAUUACAUUAUUAUGUGUUCAUAGUAAUUUGUCUAUUUUAUUUUCUAGAAUAAAAGAUGAGAGGUAGGUCGACCAUGAGUCCUCUCCUCAUGUAAGAGCCCGUUGUCCUGUAAGUAGCCCGGCAAUGAGGAGGUGUAAGAGCCCGUUGUCUCACAAGUAGCCUAACAACGAGGAAGUAUAAGAGUCUGUUGUCCCGUGAGUAGCCUGACAAUGAGCAAGUGUAAGAUCUGUUGCCCCACAAGCAACUCACCUUGCUUCACCCGGUAACAAAGAAGCGUAAUAUCCGUUGUCCCCCAACUAGCCUGACAACAAGAAAGUGUAAUAUCUGUUGCCACGUGAGCAACUUACCUUGCUUCACCAAGUAACAAAGGAGCAUAAUAUCUAUUGCCCUGCAAGUAGCCUGGCAAUGAGAAAGUGUAAUAUCCAUUGCCCCGCAAACAACCCAACAAUGAAGAAUUGGAACAUCAAUCAUCUUGUAAAUAACAUACUUUACAUGGCUUGACGGUGGGAUAAACAAAGCCUACCAAGCAACAUACCUUGUGCAACCCGACAGUUGCAGAACCAAAAGUUGUCUCACUAGCCAACCAAUCAGCUUGGCUCGAUAGUAAAAGGCCACCAAAUCACCAAAAGACCACCAUGGGCCUAAGUCUCAUGUGACAGAGCAAAAGUGCCCAGUCCACCUUGUGACAUAAAAACGCAAACCCCAAGAUUAAAAUAAGACCCCUGGAGGGAAAAUUUACAAAGAAGGUUGGUUUGGUUUGCUAUUGCUACAAAUCCUCAGUUAUUUAGAAAAAAGUGAUAGUCAUACACAAUAUCACUCAACAAAAGAGAAAGAAAGAAGCAAGAAUGCAAAUUUUAUUCAUGAGAGGAAAAUUACACAAUUCGAGUGAAGAAAAAAAGAGAGGAUCCUACAAGCCUACGCCAAAGGCCCUUGAGUAGUGCCAAAAGUAGCGAGAAUAGCAUCAACAGAUACAACUGAAAUCUCACUUUCCUCAGUACCCACAUUACAUGGAAUGCCCUUAGGAGCUGCCUCUCCAGAGACACCCAAGUCUUGAAGGGCAUCAAUCAUUUCAUCGCCUUCGAAGUCGAAAGGGUAUGGCUCCCACUAGCCCAUCAAAUUUUCCAAAUCAUCCAUGAGCCAAGACUUGAGAUAAGAAGAAGGGCUCGUAGGAUCGAGAUCAUAUUGGCACCAAUCAAGAGGCACAAAAUCCUCCACCUUAGAGGUAAGAACCAACUAUGGAAAAGUCUCCCCCGGGCGUUGUGCCUCCAAAUAGGAGCGGGCAAGAUAGAAGCCAUAUUUAGUGUAGACCAAGGAGUAUUGCCCCUUCCUAUCUUAGCAAUCCUUGGAUGGGCAAUACUCCUUCAUUACCUCGACAUAGGUGGCCACUUCCUCUUCCACUCGCCAGGCUCCAAACUCGUGGGGCCAUUUUCGACAUUCUAUCAGUUCAGCCACCCGUAACAAGUGCUCCUAAAGAAGGUCCUCUGCUAAGGAACUAUCGACUCUGUUAACGUUCAAUUCCAAGUUGAGAGUUACUAUCGAUCUUUGCUAUCUUCUGAAUCAGAUCGGAAACAAUUGCCUAUCAAUAGCCUAGAAUUACCUUUGGAAUUUGCUUUUAGUGACCAAUUUUACAAUGAUCAAACUAACUGCUUUCGUCGGAAUCACAGUUGAGAAUGAUCGACUUUGAUACCAUUUGUCACAUUCCUAGGGUUACCUAGGGUCAUGAUUGAAAUUAAGGGAGAAAUUAGAAUGAUAGAAUUGAAGAAGGGAGAGAAAAUAGUAGAAAGAGAGGGAGAAUUAGAGAGAACCGAGAGAGGGAUAGAGAGAAUUAGAAGGAAAGGGAAUUCAAUCUCAUUUCACAUAAUAAACCCAUCCUCUUCCAGUAGCCCUUUUAUAGGCAUAGCUGGCUACUAACUACAUUCCUAACAGCACCCAUGUGCUCCUAACAAUUUGCAAAAUAUCUCAUAAUAAACUAUUAUAAUCCUAUUACAAUAUUGUCCCUUUAUUGCUCCUAGAGUCAUGACCCUUAAAAACGAGGGUUGAUUGCCACACGUCCCUCCUCUCCCUCCACUAUAAAUAGGGGAGCCAUUUCCGCCCUCAGGUAAGCUCAUUUUAGGACCUAGGCUUCAUUCUUGCACUCUAGCAUUUCACAAGUCUAACUUAAGUAUUGGAGAGUUUGCGUGAGGACACCCACCCAUGCCCUUAAUAGGUUGUUUUUCUCAACAGGGCACUCAGUCAUCAAGACACCUAAUCAUCUAGGCACCUGAUCAUCCAUAAGACUCUCUGCACUUAGACUUAUAGGUCUCCUAAUCAUCUGCAUCGACUCACAGGUCUCCUAAUCAUUUGCAUCUAAACUUAUAGGUCUCCUGAUCGUCUGCACCUAGACUUAUAGGUCUCCUAAUCAUUUGCAUCCAAACCUGGAACUCUCGAGAUCACUUGACACACAGACAACACCUUGAACUCGUCGGGCCUCACACUUAUCACUCCCACUUUACAAAUUUAUUGUUUUAGUCAAGCAACAACAAGUAUAAUUGUGAACUUGACAUUGUCAAGUGGUUUCUCAAUUCCAUAUUUGGUUUACUUAUUAAUGAGGCCUUAUAAACAAUUGCACUGAUUGCUGUGGAUUUUGGGUAUUAAUAUCAUUGAUGGCAAGAAUUGCCUGUCUGGUGAUUUCCUGUUAUCAGGGGAAUGGCAGCUGGAAAAGAGCUUAUCUGUUUGUCCAACACACACACACACACCCAAUGAGGUACUUCUAUUUUGUCUACUUUGUCUUCUUGCCUGUCUUUGAUUGUGGAUAAGAGUUUUAAAAUUUUGGUAGUUUCAAAUGCCAAACCUGUUAAUAGACAAAUAAGAUAGAUAUGCUGUAGGAAGCACGGUUACUUUUGUUGCCUCAGGCAGUGUUCAUAUAUUUCGGUCUCGUCCUAUUUUCUAGUGGGAAGAAUUAUAUUCUUAAUAGAGAUGAGUAUACGUCCAGGUGGUUGAGAACUACCACAGCUAGAUAGAUGAUUCAUUUAUCAGAGCCAUAUAGUUCUGCCCCCCCCCCCCCCCCCCAAAAAAAAAAAAAAAAUAAUAAUAAUAAUAAUAAAUAAAAUAUAAAUAAAUAAAUAAAUAAAAAUGAAAAAUCACAAGUACUGCUAAAUUUCUGGGCCUUAUGCUAGUGAGUGAGAAUGGUUUUUGCUUGAUAUGAUCAAGAACUUCAAAAUGUUAACCAAAUUCAAAUACAACGAAGCAGAGCAAGAAGUUUAUAACUUGAGAUAGGUUCCUCUUGGACUUGGUCACUUGACUGCUAUCUGUUUAUUGGUG